rnacentral:pre_miRNA from 1 species
CUCAAUGUGUCACCUUAACUCGUACCUGUUAGCUUUAUCACAUUGGUGUAUAUUUCAUCGGAAGAAUGCAGAACAAGUUGUUCAAACAUGGGAUAAGCAAUUCCAUAGUGCCCAAAAAGAGCAAAAAGUACCACUUCUAUAUCUUGCCAAUGACAUCUUGCAAAACAGCAAGCGGACAGGAUCAGAGUUUGUUGGUGAGUUUUGGA